rnacentral:rRNA from 1 species
UACGUAGGGUGCAAGCGUUGUCCGGAAUUAUUGGGCGUAAAGAGCUCGUAGGCGGUUCGUCGCGUCGGCUGUGAAAACCUGAGGCUCAACCUCAGGCCUGCAGUCGAUACGGGCGGACUUGAGUACUGCAGGGGAGACUGGAAUUCCUGGUGUAGCGGUGAAAUGCGCAGAUAUCAGGAGGAACACCGGUGGCGAAGGCGGGUCUCUGGAGCCGAUACUGACGCUGAGGAGCGAAAGCGUGGGGAGCGAACAGG